CGGUUGAUCCUGCCGGAGGUUACUGCUAUCGGUAUUCGACUAAGCCAUGCGAGUUAAAUGUUCUUCGUGAACAUAGCGAACUGCUCAGUAACACGUGGAUAACCUGCCCUUAGGUUUGGCAUAACUCCGGGAAACUGGAGAUAAUUCCGAAUAAACCAUUCAUGCUGGAAUGCUUUUUGGUUCAAAGACUUCGGUUGCCUAAGGAUGGAUCUGCGGUCUAUCAGGUGGUAGUGGGUGUAAUGUACCUACUAGCCUACGACGGAUAUGGGUUGUGAGAGCAAGAGCCCAGAGAUGGAUUCUGAGACAUGAAUCCAGGCCCUACGGGGCGCAGCAGGCGCGAAAACUUUACAAUGCGGGAAACCGCGAUAAGGGGAUACCGAGUGCCAGCAUAUUAUGUUGGCUGUCCACAUGUGUAAACGGCAUGUGUUAGCAAGGGCCGGGCAAGACCGGUGCCAGCCGCCGCGGUAACACCGGCGGCCCGAGUGGUAAUCACUUUUAUUGGGUCUAAAGGGUCCGUAGCCGGUUUGAUCAGUUCUUCGGGAAAUCUGACAGCUCAACUGUUAGGCUUCCGGGGAAUACUGUCAGACUUGGGACCGGGAGAGGUAAGAGGUACUACAGGGGUAGGAGUGAAAUCUUGUAAUCCCUGUGGGACCACCAGUGGCGAAGGCGUCUUACCAGAACGGGUCCGACGGUGAGGGACGAAAGCUGGGGGCACGAACCGGAUUAGAUACCCGGGUAGUCCCAGCCGUAAACGAUGUUCGCUAGGUGUCAGGGACGGUGCGACCGUUUCUGGUGCCGUAGGGAAGCCGUGAAGCGAACCACCUGGGAAGUACGGCCGCAAGGCUGAAACUUAAAGGAAUUGGCGGGGGAGCACUACAACGGGUGGAGCCUGCGGUUUAAUUGGACUCAACGCCGGAAAACUCACCGGGGG
rnacentral:rRNA from 1 species